rnacentral:rRNA from 1 species
UACGUAGGGUGCAAGCGUUGUCCGGAAUUAUUGGGCGUAAAGAGCUCGUAGGCGGUCUGUCGCGUCUGCUGUGAAAACUCAGGGCUUAACCCUGAGCUUGCAGUGGGUACGGGCAGACUAGAGUGCGGUAGGGGAGAUUGGAAUUCCUGGUGUAGCGGUGGAAUGCGCAGAUAUCAGGAGGAACACCGAUGGCGAAGGCAGAUCUCUGGGCCGUAACUGACGCUGAGGAGCGAAAGCAUGGGGAGCGAACAGG